CUUAYUUGGAUAACCGUGGUAAUUCUAGAGCUAAUARUGCUAAAAACCUCGACUUCGGAAGGGGUGUAUUUAUUAGAUAAAAAACCAAUGCCCUCCGGGGCUCCUUGGUGAUUCAUAAUAACUAAACGAAUSGSAUGGCCUUGCGCCGGCGAUGGUUCAUUCAAAUUUCUGCCCUAUCAACUUUCGAUGGUAGGAUAGUGGCCUACCAUGGUGGCAACGGGUAACGGGGAAUUAGGGUUCUAUUCCGGAGAGGGAGCCUGAGAAACGGCUACCACAUCCAAGGAAGGCAGCAGGCGCGCAAAUUACCCAAUCCCGACACGGGGAGGUAGUGACAAUAAAUACUGAUGUGGAGCUCUUUAGGGUUUCACAAUUGGAAUGAGAAAAAUCUAAACCACUUAAACGAGGAACAAUUGGAGGGCAAGUCUGGUGCCAGCAGCCGCGGUAAUUCCAGCUCCAAUAGCGUAUAUUAAAGUUGUUGCAGUUAAAAAGCUCGUAGUUGAACCUUGGGCCUGGCCGGCCGGUCCGCCUCACCGCGUGCACUGGUUCGGCCGGGCCUUUCCUCCUGGGGAACCGCAUGCCCUUCACUGGGUGUGCCGGGGAAUCAGGACUUUUACUUUGAAAAAAUUAGAGUGUUCAAAGCAGGCAUUUGCUCGAAUACAUUAGCAUGGAAUAAUAGAAUAGGACGUUGUGGUUCUAUUUUGUUGGUUUCUAGGACCGCCGUAAUGAUA
rnacentral:rRNA from 1 species